UCCGACUCGCAAUGAGCUUCCACGGGGGGUUGUUUUGAUACCCCCUCCUUUCCCCUUGGUCUUUUUUGCAACAUUCCCCCACUGCUACUUUGUUGCCGAGGAUGUUUGAUGGGAUAUUGAGAGCUCACCCGCCGCCUACCGAUGAGGACUUCCCGGUAGUUGUAAAGCCGAGAGGAGCAACUUUUGACCACUUACCAUAUCGCUCUUGACCAAGCUAACCGAGCUAGUCCGUUAGCUGCGCGCGCGCGUGUGUGUGUGGAAUGCUGUAGAAAUUAUUUGGAAACGUCACCAACGGAGAGGAGUAGCCCCCCUUAAGCAACCCACGUUAUGGCCGGACAGUGCAACAUUAAACUUCGACUUUGAGAGUGACUCGUCGCUCGGCGGCCGCAUCCUUAUUGCCGGGGCAGGUGCACCUCCUUCCCCGCGACACCUGUGGCGAAGCCUCGACGGUGCUAGCUUUAGCUUUAGCAUCAAACACAAGUGGGACACUUUUUAAAUAUUUUUUUUUGUUUUUUAAUCGUUCCCCACUUUGACGUUUCAAAUAUCUUACUCCGGAAAUGCACGUUGUUUCAUUUGAAAGUAUACGUUAAGUAGAUUCGGGGCUGUUUGUUAACUUUAGGCAAGCAUUAAGCCAGCCACUUGUAGCCGGGUGUCGACAGUGCUGUGGGAUUAAGUUACAGCCCCGUGUGGGACGCUCCUCGCCGAGGGACUUUGGUCGGUGUCAAAAGCUCAGGCGGGGAAUUCCCCUCCUUUUCAUCCAGUAAAAUCAACAACAUGCUGAGUUCCAAAAGUCACAUUUUGCUUUUCUAAUUUAGCCUCUUGCGCCCCGCACCCUAUGGUGCCAUUACGGCCACCGAGAAAUGGAUGUCUCGCAGGCCGCUUUCCCAAACGGUGAAGGGCGGCCGGGCGGCGGUGAUGGUGGCGGUGGUGUUGGAGGGAGCAGGGAACAUGUCUGGACAGAUUCCCCCACGCACGCGUGGGCUCACUCGGCCCCGCUUUGCCCGACGCGGUCGCUGUGGACUGCCGCGUACGACUAUGAGGCGAGCGGCGAGGACGAGCUCAGUCUGUGUCGGGGCGACGUGGUCGAGGUCCUGUCCAAGGACGCGGCCAUAUCCGGCGACGAAGGCUGGUGGACCGGAAAGAUCAACCACCGGGUCGGCAUCUUCCCCUCCAACUAUGUCACCUACCAGCCUGCCAUUUACCGUCUGCCCGUCGCGAGCGCGCGGGAGCGGGUUCCGGCUUCCCCUGUCCAGAUCCCCUUCACCGAGCUGGUGCUGGAGGAGAUCAUCGGCGUAGGAGGCUUCGGCAAAGUGUAUCGCGGCACAUGGAAGGGUCAGGAGGUGGCCGUGAAGGCGGCCAGACAGGACCCUGACGAGGACAUUACCGCUACGGCGGCCAGCGUCAAGCAGGAGGCCAAACUAUUCUCCAUGCUGCAGCACCCCAAUAUCAUCAAGCUGGAGGGGGUGUGCUUGGACGAGCCCAACUUGUGCUUAGUCAUGGAGUACGCCCGAGGAGGCACGCUGAACCGGGCGUUGACCGGCAGGCGAAUUCCGCCGCACAUUCUGGUUAAUUGGGCCGUGCAGAUAGCGCGCGGGAUGCACUAUUUGCACGAGGAGGCCGUGGUCAUCCACCGAGACCUGAAAUCCAGCAACGUUCUAUUACUUGAAACAAUAGAAAAUGACGACAUCGGAAGGAAGACGUUGAAGAUCACUGACUUUGGCCUGGCCCGGGAGUGGCACAAGACCACAAAAAUGUCUGCGGCGGGCACCUACUCCUGGAUGGCCCCUGAGGUCAUCAAGUCGUCUACAUUUUCUAAAGGCAGUGAUGUCUGGAGCUAUGGCGUUUUGCUGUGGGAGCUGUUAACAGGGGAGGUGCCUUACAGGGGAAUUGAUGGCCUGGCUGUUGCUUAUGGCGUGGCUGUCAAUAAAUUAACAUUACCAAUUCCUUCCACCUGCCCCGAACCCUUUGCAAGGCUUAUGGAAGAGUGUUGGGAUCAAGACCCACACGUGCGCCCCUCAUUCUCCUGUAUCCUGGAACAGCUGUCUGCCAUCGAGGAGGCAGUGAUGGCCACCAUGCCGCAGGACUCUUUCCAUAUCAUGCAGGACGACUGGCGUGUGGAGAUUCAGGAGAUGUUUGACGAGCUCAGGACCAAAGAGAAGGAGCUACGUUCUCGGGAAGAGGAGCUGACGAGAGCCGCUCUGCAGCAGAAGUCCCACGAGGAGGUGCUGAAGAAACGCGAGCAGCUGCUAGCCGAGCGGGAGAUCAACGUGCUAGAGCGGGAGCUCAACAUCCUCAUCUUUCAGCUCAACAAGGACAAGCCUAACGUCAAGAAGCGCAAGGGCAAAUUCAAGCGAUCCCGCCUCAAGCUGAAGGACGGCAACCGCAUCAGCUUACCUUCAGACUUUCAGCACAAAAUCACAGUGCAGGCUUCGCCCUCCAUGGACAAGAGGCGGAGCCUUCACAGCACCAGCUCCUCUCCUCCCAGCAGUCCCACACUUAUACCCCGCCUACGAGCUAUUCAACUGACGUGCCCUGUGGAGAGGGAUACAUUGUUUGUUUACCAGCAAGACGUGGAUCUGAGCAGCGAGCUCUCGUGGUUCGGCGUCACGCAGGAUGAGAGCAACCGCACAUGGGGUCGUAGCCCCACCUUAAGGCAGGAAGAAUUUGACGAUGUGAGGAGGGGUAUCAAGAAGAAGGGGAGAACCUGGGGCCCUAGUUCAGUGCAAAGCAAAGAAAGGCCUGCUGCCACAGAGAGAGUGCGUCCGCUCUCAGACGGCAGCAACCCAUCAUGGUCCACCAGUCUGGUGAAGUCGCAGAAGCCUGUCCCACUUGCCUCCCUUUUUGCUGAACAGGGAGAAGGUGGUAGAGAUGAGUCCUUCACACAAGAGUGUUCCGACAGCAGCUCCAAACCAAAGCAGCUCAAAUUCCCCAACCAGGUGUACCUGGAUCUACCUCUAUGGCGGGACGAGCAGCAGCCCCCCUGCAUCGUAGGGGAGGGUCCGGCCAGGCCGGUGUCUCCGGGUGGCCCGGCCGAGAGUCCAGAAGACACCGCCACCACGUCCACCUCUUCGGCCUCCACAACCCCACAGCUCACGCCCACCAACAGCCUUAAGAGGGCGUCGGGUCGUCGCAAGAUGGAUUCUGUGCUGUACGGCUGUGGCUCACUGUUGGCCUCUGUCGUGCUUGGCUACGACAUACGCGAGGCACUCAAGAAUGCUCAGGAUGACGGCGAGCCACCGCGGGAGGAGAAGAAAAAGAAGGAGGGCCUGUUCCAGCGCGCCACCCGCUUCCGACGCAGCACCUCCCCGCCGAACGGCAGCCGCUCUCGUAAAGAUGAGAUCUCGCCGACCCACGUCUCCAACCCGCACGCCAACUUGGUCUCCAUGUCGGCCAUCGUGGAAUGCAAGUCCACAAAGUGCCUGCUCCAGUCAGAGGCGGAGGUGUCGCGGUGCAGCCCCACCAAGGCUGACCUCGUGCCAGUCAGUCAACAUGUCGAGACCCCUCGGCCUGCUCCGCCCCCGCCUGUAGAAAAAAAACAAACGACACCGCCACAAACCCAAAGUCAACCGGCGGAGGUGACCAACCAUAACAUGGGGACACGCCUCCGCAGAAAAAAAUACAACAACCAUGAUGCGAACGGCCUUCCCAGCUUGCCGCCUCCAACUGCUCCCAAGAAGACCAGAGACACGCGACCCGUCUCCUUCUGGGCUAAGCCGCACGCGCGAGGUCUGGUCGCUCACCUGGGCAAGAGCUAUUCGCUGGGCCACUACUCGGGCGAGAAGGCAGCGCAGGCCUGCUCGUUGCUCGACAUGGACGCCGAGGGCCAGAACCGCGACUGUACAGUGCCAUUGUGCCGCAUCCAGAGCUCGCCGGGCAGGCCCACCUUAUACGAGCUGGAAAAAGAGUUCCUCUCCUAGAAAGCCGUCACUUCCUAACUCCAAAUGCUUGUAGCGCGUAAAACGGAUUCGACCAGGAAGGACAAGCAGUCAAUUAGAUUGGAUGUCUAUCGCUGUCAAUGGCACUGAGACAUGAUCUUUCACUGCCAGCCCUGCAUUCUUGUAUUUAUACAGUAUCUAUUUUUCUAUGGGUAAAUUUGUAUGCAAUCGUCCUUACUUCAGAAAUCCCACCUUAUUUAAGGGAAUUACUUGCCAGUAUGUGCUGCUCAGAACUUCUCCCAGAUGCAGACAGCCUCCCUGUGCAGCAUGGCAUCGGGAGCGCCAUCUACAGGCCUGAAAAGGUAACGCAGGUCGAAAAAGCACCAAUUCAAUGAAAGAAUCUGAAGGAAAACAAGUGACUGUUUUGAAAGAUUUUUCGAAGUAUAAGCAUGAUAACUUUUCCAACAUGGUUCUGAAGAUUUUCUUGUUUCACAGUGUAUUAUGUGACCUGCGUGUCCCGUGUGGGCUGAACUCCAGUUUGGAUUUUUAAACCUCAAAGUGGCCCAGUCACUCUUUUUAUUUUUACAUGGAAUAUUUGGAUAUUAGCCACCAAAAUGGCUUCCUCAGGAUCAACUAAAGGGUUUCAUUUUAUUAAACAAUAAUAAUUAAAAAAAACGUUUUGUAAGAAAUCUCCGAUUAGAAUGGUGUAAAUACAAUUUUUAUUAUGAAAUCACGCUUUAUUUGAUGGAUUAGGCAAUGUGAGUCUUUUCCUCCACACAUUAUUUGCCUUAGUACAGUAGUAGUGUACUGUAAUUGGAUUUCCUAAAAACAGAUGCUCUGCCUCUAAUCAUUCAUUCAAUUUGCCCCAUAUUCUUCGAUCCUACCAGCAAUAAGAAAUAAGUAGUAACCAUGACUAUCUCCAGGGUGUAGAAACUGUACCUAUCGCUGAUGUGAACCCCCCAUUUGAAUGUGUACAUGCAUGUACAAUGGGACCUGACCUGAGGGCCAACCUAUGUAAAGCAAGCAAACAUUCCGUUGUAAACAUCUUUGAUGUCUAUUUUCCUGUCGGAGCUUCUGCCAAGUGGACCAAAAUGAAGGCACAAAACGAGCGCAAGACUGCACUAAAGGACAUUGUAGAACGUUUGUUCCCGACCAAAAUGUGAGCAGCCGCUGCUUGUGAUUUGUAGUCGUGUAGUAGAGAAAGACUCCGUGUGACGUCGGCCUUUUUUGAGCCUCCGGUCGGAUGACAUGCUACACAAAGUACAACACACACGUUACCCAUUGGUCCUUCAGUUUUUUUCUUAUUAUUAUUGUUAUCACAGUAUUUCAUUGCCUGAUUGAUCAAGAGUAUCAACAUUUUUCAAUAAA